GUGGGGAUAUAGCUCAGUUGGUAGAGUGCUUGCCUACCAUGCAAAAGGCCUUGGGUUCAAUCCCCAGCAACACA
rnacentral:tRNA from 1 species